CACGUAGGGCGCAAGCGUUGUCCGGAAUUAUUGGGCGUAAAGAGCUCGUAGGCGGUCUGUUGCGUCCGCUGUGAAAACCCGGGGCUUAACCCUGGGCUUGCAGUGGAUACGGGCAGACUAGAGGCAGGUAGGGGAGAAUGGAAUUCCCGGUGUAGCGGUGAAAUGCGCAGAUAUCAGGAGGAACACCGGUGGCGAAGGCGGGUCUCUGGGCCGAUACUGACGCUGAGGAGCGAAAGCGUGGGGAGCGAACAGG
rnacentral:rRNA from 1 species